rnacentral:rRNA from 1 species
AUACGGAGGGUGCAAGCGUUACUCGGAAUCACUGGGCGUAAAGCGCGCGCAGGCGGCUAUUUAAGUUGGAUGUGAAAGCCUACGGCUCAACCGUAGAACUGCAUCCAAAACUAUUUAGCUAGAGUGUGGGAGAGGAAGAUGGAAUUAGUUGUGUAGGGGUAAAAUCCGUAGAGAUAACUAGGAAUACCAAAAGCGAAGGCAAUCUUCUGGAACACUACUGACGCUGAGGCGCGAAAGCGUGGGUAGCGAACAGGAUUAGAAACCCUAGUAGUCC